rnacentral:rRNA from 1 species
AGUGAACGCUGGCGGUAGGCCUAACACAUGCAAGUCGAACGGCAGCACAGUAAGAGCUUGCUCUUACGGGUGGCGAGUGGCGGACGGGUGAGGAAUACAUCGGAAUCUACUUUUUCGUGGGGGUUACGGAGGGAAACUUACGCUAAUUCCGCAUACGACCUACGGGUGGAAGGAGGGGAACUUUGGACCUUGCGCGGAUUAAUUAGCCGAUGUCGGAUUAGCUAGUUGGGGGGGUAAAGGCCCACCAAGGCGACGAUCCGUAGCUGGUCUGAGAGGAUGAUCAGCCACACUGGAACUGAGACACGGUCCAGACUCCUACGGGAGGCAGCAGUGGGGAAUAUUGGACAAUGGGCGCAAGCCUGAUCCAGCCAUACCGCGUGGGUGAAGAAGGCCUUCGGGUUGUAAAGCCCUUUUGUUGGGAAAGAAAAGCAGCAGGUUAAUACCCCGCUGUUCUGACGGUACCCAAAGAAUAAGCACCGGCUAACUUCGUG